CUCUUUUAUUCACAUAUAUAAUCCAGACUCUCUAAAACAUUUCCUUUUUCAUUUUAGUGAUUUCCAAGCUAUCGCUUUAGUCAAAUGAAUUUAUUUCUGUUAAAUUAUAAACAAUUACUUCUAGGAUGAAUCCCGACUGAAAGAGUAAUCAGUAAUUCUCUUCCUGUCUGUCCCCUAUCAGAUUUAGAUAAAAAUUCGGUGUUUUAAAUUUCUGUAGGUUGCUUAGGAGACGUGGGAGAAGACGACGGGGAGAGGAUGGAAGGGAAUUCGUGGCUUGAUUGUGGCUUGUUGCAGGAGGAGCUGUGACAGAACCCCCCAGAUACUGAAGUGAGGAAGGACGAGGCUUUUAUUCAGCUAGCUGUGGAGCAUCAGUUUGCUCGUGUCCAAAAGAUGCUGAGCUCCCUGAAAAGCAGUUUCUCUCCCGAUGUUCACGUUCCUGUUUGGGAUGUUCUUUCAGAUCCCGUGUACCAGUGAAACUGAAACUCCUGACGUCAGCUGGUCUGAAGGACCCCAUUGAGGAACUGACUCAACGAAGAAUAGUUUCCACAUCCUAAUGAUUUCAUCCCCCUUCCCCUGACCAAUCAACAACCUUAAUUUUCCCACCCCUCACCCUCCACAAUCCCCUUAGGAGCCUUA
rnacentral:lncRNA from 1 species